GUCAAAGCAAAUCCUACUACACCUGAUAUCGGCUCUGAAUGAAGUAGGUUACCCUGUAGUGGCUGUUGUUUGUGAUAUGGGUCCAACCAAUCGGAAGUUGUGGAAAGAGUUUGACAUAACUUCAGAGUCAUCGAUUUCUUACAGGAAAAAUCAGACAACUCUGAAGCAAUCGAAAAGCCAUGGUUUCCACAUCCAACUAAUCCAGAAGAGAAAGUAUUUACAUUUGCGGAUGUUCCUCACUUAUUAAAACUCGUAAGGAACCACUUUCUCGAUUCAGG